rnacentral:rRNA from 1 species
GGAUUAGAUACCCUGGUAGUCCCAGCCGUAAACGGUGCGCACUUGCUGUGGGCGGAUUCGACCCCGUCCGUGGCGAAGCUAACGCGUUAAGUGCGCCGCCUGGGGAGUACGGUCGCAAGAUUAAAACUCAAAGAAAUUGACGGGGGCCUGCACAAGCGGUGGAGUAUGUGGCUUAAUUCGAUGCAACGCGAAGAACCUUACCUGGCCUUGACAUGUAGUGGCCCGGGUGCGAAAUCACCCUUUUCUUCGGAACUGCUACACAGGUGCUGCAUGGCUGUCGUCAGCUCGUGCCG